rnacentral:rRNA from 1 species
UAGAGUUUGAUCCUGGCUCAGAACGAACGCUGGCGGCAGGCCUAACACAUGCAAGUCGAGCGCCCUAGCAGUAGGGAGCGGCAGACGGGUGAGUAACGCGUGGGAACCUUCCCAGUGGUACGGAACAGCUCAGGGAAACUUGGGGUAAUACCGUAUACGCCCGAAAGGGGAAAGAUUUAUCGCCAUUGGAUGGGCCCGCGUCGGAUUAGCUAGUUGGUGAGGUAAUGGCUCACCAAGGCUACGAUCCGUAGCUGGUCUGAGAGGAUGACCAGCCACACUGGGACUGAGACACGGCCCAGACUCCUACGGGAGGCAGCAGUGGGGAAUAUUGGACAAUGGGCGCAAGCCUGAUCCAGCCAUGCCGCGUGAGUGACGAAGGUCUUCGGAUUGUAAAGCUCUUUUGGCGGGGAUGAUAAUGACGGUACCCGCAGAAUAAGCCCCGGCUAACUUCGUGCCAGCAGCCGCGGUAAUACGAAGGGGGCUAGCGUUGUUCGGAAUUACUGGGCGUAAAGCGCACGUAGGCGGAUUUGCCAGUCAGGGGUGAAAUCCCGGGGCUCAACCUCGGAACUGCCUUUGAUACAGCAAAUCUCGAGUCCGGAAGAGGUGAGUGGAAUUCCUAGUGUAGAGGUGAAAUUCGUAGAUAUUAGGAAGAACACCACUGGCGAAGGCGGCUCACUGAUCCAGUACUGACGCUGAGGUGCGAAAGCGUGGGAGCAAACAGGAUUAGAUACUCUGGUAGUCCAUGCUGUAAACGAUGGAUGCUAGCCGUCGGCAAGCUUGCUUGUCGAUGGCGCAGCUAACGCAUUAAUCAUCCCGCCAUGGGGGAGUACUGGACGCU